rnacentral:misc_RNA from 1 species
UGUGUGUGUGUGUGUGUAUCGAUUGUUGACUUAUUUUCAGUUUAGUAUGAGUCCAUUACAAUUUUGAUUCAAUUUCAAUAAAUCGUAUCAAAAUAGCAAAAUAAAUUUGAUUCUGCAUGAUCCAUUCGGCUCAGGACCCAAAAUCCGAGCACCCCUAACUUCUAACAUCAUUUCUCAGCUUGCAAGCAAAUGACAUUUUUACGGUAGAUCCCAUUUGUCAGCCACAGCCACACAAAUCCUUGAGAUACACCAGG